ensembl:lncRNA
CUGCUGUGUCGACAACAACUGGUGAACCCACUACAACUAUCAUUGAGUCUUCAUCAACAACUGGUGAACCCACUACAACCAUCACUGGUGUUUCUACAAUAACUAAUGAACCUUCUACAACCAUCACUGGUGUGUCAACAACAACUGGUGAACCCACUACAACCAUCACUGGUGUGUCAACAACUGGUGAACCCACAACAACAGUCACUGCUGUGUCGACAGCAACUGGUGAACCCACUACAUCCAUCACAGUUUCAUCAACAACAACUGAUGAACCCACUACAACCAUCACUGCUGUGUCGACAACAACUGGUGAACCCACUACAACUAUAACUGAGUCAUCAUCAACAACUGGUGAACCCACUACAACUAUAACUGAGUCUUCAUCAACAACUGGUGAACCCACUACAACCAUCACUGGUGUGUCAACAACAACUGGUGAACCCACUACAACCAUCACUGGUGUGUCAACAACAACUGGUGAACCGACUCCAACUAUAACUGAGUCAUCGUCAACAACUGGUGAACCCACUACAACCAUCACUGAGUCAACAAAAACAACUGGUCAACAAACUAGAUCAGUCACUGGUGCAUCGACAACAAUUGGUGAACCCACUACGACCAUCACUGAGUCAACAAAAAAUACUGUUCAACCCACAUCAACAGUCAAAGCUGUGUCGACAAUAACUGGUGAACCCACCACGACAAUCACUGGUGUUUCUACAACAACUAAUGAACCUUCUACAACCAUCACUGGUGUGUCACCAACAACUGGUGAACCCACUACAACUAUCCUUGAGUCUUCAUCAACAACUGGUGAACCCACUACAACCAUCACUGAGUCAACAAAAACAACUGGUGAACCCACUACAACUGUUACUGGGGCAUCGACAACAACUGGUGAACCCACUACAUCCAUCACGGUUUCAUCAACAACAACUGGUGAACCCACUACAACCAUCACUGAGUCAACAAAAAAUACUGUUCAACCCACAUCAACAGUCAAAGCUGUGUCGACAACAGCUGGUGAACCCACUACGACAAUAACUGGUGUUUCUACAACAACUAAUGAACCUUCUACAACCAUCACUGGUGUGUCAACAACAACUGGUGAACCCACUACAACUAUCAUUGAGUCUUCAUCAACAACUGUUGAACCCACUACAACCAUCACUGCUGUGUCUACAACAACUGGUGAACCCACUACAACUAUCAUUGAGUCUUCAUCAACAACUGGUGAACCCACUACAACCAUCACUGAGUCAACAAAAACAACUGGUGAACCCACAACAACAGUCACUGCUGUGUCGACAACAACUGUUGAACCCACUACAACUGUUACUGGGGCAUCGACAACAACUGGUGAACCCACUACAUCCAUCACGGUUUCAUCAACAACAACUGGUGAACCCACUACAACCAUCACUGAGUCAACAAAAACAACUGGUGAACCCACUUCAACAGUCACUGCUGUGUCGACAGCAACUGGUGAACCCACUACAUCCAUCACAGUUUCAUCAACAACUGAUGAACCCACUACAAGCAUCACUGAGUCAACAAAAAAUACUGUUCAACCCACAUCAACAGUCAAAGCUGUGUCGACAAUAACUGGUGAACCCACCACGACAAUCACUGGUGUUUCUACAACAACUAAUGAACCUUCUACAACCAUCACUGGUGUGUCAACCACAACUGGUGAACCCACUACAACUAUCAUUGAGUCUUCAUCAACAACUGGUGAACCCACUACAACCAUCACUGAGUCAACAAAAACAACUGGUGAACCCACAACAACAGUGACUGCUGUGUCGACAACAACUGGUGAACCCACUACAACCAUCACUGCUUCAACAAAAACAACUGUUGAACCCACUACAACUGUUACUGGGGCAUCGACAACAACUGGUGAACUCACUACAUCCCCCAUCACGGUUUCAUCAACAACAACUGAUGAACCCACUACAACCAUCACUGAGUCAACAAAAACAACUGGUCAACCCACAUCAACAGUCAAAGCUGUGUCGACAACAACUGGUGAACCCACUACAACUGUUACUGGGGCAUCGACAACAACUGGUGAACCCACUACAUCCAUCACGGUUUCAUCAACAACAACUGAUGAACCCACUACAACCAUCACUGAGUCAACCAAAACAACUGGUGAACCCACUUCAACAGUCACUGCUGUGUCGACAACAACUGAUGAACCCACUACAAGCAUCACUGAGUCAACAAAAACAACUGUUCAACCCACAUCAACAGUCAAAGCUGUGUCGACAACAACUGGUGAACCCACUACAACUGUUACUGGGGCAUCGACAACAACUGGUGAACCCACUACAUCCAUCACGGUUUCAUCAACAACAACUGAUGAACCCACUACAACCAUCACUGAGUCAACCAAAACAACUGGUGAACCCACUUCAACAGUCACUGCUGUGUCGACAACAACUGGUGAACCCACUACAAGCAUCACUGAGUCAACAAAAACAACUGUUCAACCCACAUCAACAGUCAAAGCUGUGUUGACAACAACUGGUGAACCCACCAUGACAAUAACUGGUGUUUCUACAACAACUAAUGAACCUUCUACAACCAUCACUGGUGUGUCAACAACAACUGGUGAACCCACUACAACUAUCAUUGAGUCUUCAUCAACAACUGGUGAACCCACUACAACCAUCACUGUGUCAACAACAACUGGUGAACCCACUACAACUGUUACUGGUGUGUCAAAAACAACUGGUGAACCCACUACAACUGUUACUGGUGUGUCAAAAACAACUGGUGAACCCACUACAACCAUCACUGAGUCAACCAAAACAACUGGUGAACCCACUACAACCAUCACUGCUGUGUCGACAACAACUGGUGAACCCACUACAACCGUCACAGUUUCAUCAACAACAACUGAUGAACCCACUACAAGCAUCACUGAGUCAACAAAAAAUACUGUUCAACCCACAUCAACAGUCAAGGUUGUAUCGACAACAACUGGUGAACCCACUACGACAAUCACUGGUGUUUCUACAAUAACUAAUGGACCUUCUACAACCAUCACUGGUUUGUCAACAACAACUGGUGAACCCACUACAACCAUCACUGGUGUGUCAACAACUGGUGAACCCACAACAACAGUCACUGCUGUGUCGACAACAACUGGUGAACCCACUACAACCAUCACUGGU